rnacentral:misc_RNA from 1 species
GAUGAAGAACGUAGUGAAAUGCGAUAAGUAAUGUGAAUUGCAGAAUUCAGUGAAUCAUCGAAUCUUUGAACGCACAUUGCGCCCGCCAGGAUUCUGGCGGGCAUGCCUGUUCGAGCGUCAUUUCAACCAUCAAGCCCCCGGCGUGUGUUGGGGACCUGCGGCUGCCGCAGGCCCUGAAAAGCAGUGGCGGGCUCGCUGUCACACCGAGCGUAGUAGCAUACAUCUCGCUCUGGGCGUGCUGCGGGUUCCGGCCGUUAAACCACCUUCAUAACCCAAGGUUGACCUCGGAUCAGGUAGGAAGACCCGCUGAACUUAAGCAUAUCAAUAAGCGGAGGA